GAUGAACGCUGGCGGCGUGCCUAAUACAUGCGAGUAGAACGCUGAAGGAGGAGCUUGCUCUUCUGGAUGAGUUGCGAACGGGUGAGUAACGCGUAGGUAACCUGCCUGGUAGCGGGGGAUAACUAUUGGAAACGAUAGCUAAUACCGCAUGACAACAGUUAUUGCAUGAUAACUGUUUAAAAGGGGCAACUGCUCCACUACCAGAUGGACCUGCGUUGUAUUAGCUAGUUGGUGAGGUAACGGCUCACCAAGGCGACGAUACAUAGCCGACCUGAGAGGGUGAUCGGCCACACUGGGACUGAGACACGGCCCAGACUCCUAUGGGAGGCAGCAGUAGGGAAUCUUCGGCAAUGGACGGAAGUCUGACCGAGCAACGCCGCGUGAGUGAAGAAGGUUUUCGGAUCGUAAAGCUCUGUUGUAAGAGAAGAACGAGUGUGAGAGUGGAAAGUUCACACUGUGACGGUAUCUUACCAGAAAGGGACGGCUAACUACGUG
rnacentral:rRNA from 1 species